rnacentral:lncRNA from 1 species
CACUCAGUGCCAUGGACUGGUUGACCACGGCGGUGCUGGCUCACAGCUUGCGCUAGCUCAGCCUCUAAGAUCUUUUUCGACCGGAUUGAUUCUUGUGUUUCUGCAAAGCGCAGCCUGUCGGGAGCAGGGGAAUUAAUCCGGGGUGAUUUUCCCAAAUCCGUUCUCAUAAGAGCGCACGCUGUUACUGUGCUGGCGCCGUGAGGGAAGGGGGCGGGAGAGCCGAGCGCGGCCCGGGGCGCGCCGCGCACGCAGGGCGGUGCGGGACCCUGUGCCAGACAGCUGCUCGGGCCGGAGCCCCGCCGGGACUGCCGGCGCUCAGCUCUUGUCUGCGUUAAGUCAUCUUCGUUUUAGAAUCACACCGAAACAGCCACUCACUGGUUCCAGUGCUGGUAUUUGAAGCGUGUGUAAUAAAACGCCAGAGCAACAGGGAAGAGAGCUGCAUCUGGAAAAUGCACUGCACAUAAACUUGGAAAGAUGUCUGUGUUCUGCACUGUGAAAGCUGAGCCCAAAGACCAUUUAAAGGAAAAUAAUUGCAGAAAACAAAUAAAGAAAAGGAGCCUGAAAGAAUACAUAGAGAUUUUGAAAAAAGAAGUGUGAAACAAAUCCUUCUGCUCAGGCCCCCAGCUGUGCAACAUGAUACGUAAAAUACAUGAUGUCAGCACAACCGUGUUUGCAACUGUCACCUGUUUCAAAGAAUUUUGUAAGAAUUAACUCUGGGGGAUUGCUGUAAGUACUUUGUCUAAUACCGUUAGAUUUCUUUCUAAAUGCAGUUGUAUUUCAUAUAAAAGUCUAACUCCUACAUAAUACUUCAUCAUUAGGGCUUAAAAUGCCUAGUUAAUGGUUUGGUUGUAUAUUAACAUUAAUUUUAAAAUGUGUAAAAUAUUUUAUGACAAUGAUUUCACAGAGCAUGGAUAAUGCAAGCUGCUCAUAGUCUUUAUAGACUGAACACUCUUUUUAAAAAUAAUUCAAACAGUCUGUAAUUUUCCAAAAGCCCCUUAGUUUCAUUUAAUUAUAUUUUACAACCAUUUUGUGUGGUUCAGUCACCUGUGUAAAUAGCAGCUUUCUCAGAACUGAAAUGAGCAAAUAAUUACUCACAAUUUUGUAUACGCAUUAUUUUAUUCAAAAUAGCUUUUCACAAUUUUGCUUAAAAACACGAAGCACAAAGAGACUAAAGAACAAAUGGUAUUCAACAAAUGCUCU